rnacentral:rRNA from 1 species
UUCGCAAUGCCCGAAAGGGUGAACGAGCGACGCCGCGUGCGGGAUGAAGGCCUUCGGGUUGUAAACCGCUUUUCUUAGGGAAGAACUUAAUGACGGUACCUAAGGAAUAAGAGGUUACUAACUCUGUGCCAGCAGUAGCGGUAAUACAGAGACCUCAAGCGUUAUCCGGAUUUAUUGGGCGUAAAGCGCAUGUAGGCGGCUCUGAAAGUAGGGUGUGAAAUCCCCUGGCCCACCCAGGGAACUGCAUUCUAAACUUCAGGGCUUGAGUGAAGAAGGGGAGAGAGGAACUCCUGGUGGAGCGGUAAAAUGCGUAGAUAUCAGGAGGAACGCCGGUGGAGAAGUCGUCUCUCUGGUCUUUUACUGACGCUGAGAUGCGAAAGCUAGGGGAGCAAACGGGAUUAGAUACCCCGGUAGUCCUAGCCGUAAACGAUGGGCACUAAGUAGAGGGGUUUU